rnacentral:snRNA from 1 species
AUUGCUUCUCGGCCGUUUGGCUAACAUCAACUGUAGUAUCUGUUCUUAUCAGUUUAAUUUUGUGAUAUUAAAAAAGUACUAAAAUACUGGAAAGAAACAGCACAU